rnacentral:rRNA from 1 species
CUGCAUUUGUGACUGCAUAGAUAGAGUGUGUGAGAGGGAUGAUGGAAUUCCGCAGUGUAGCAGUGAAAUAGGUAGAUAUGCGGAGGAACGCCGAUGAGGGAAGCCAGUUUCCUGGGAUAGUACUGACGGUCAUGCAAGAAAGGGUGGGGAGCAAACAGGAUUAGAUGGCCUGGUAGUCCACGCCCUAAAUGAUGUCAACUGGUGGUUGGGUCCUUAUGGCCUUGGUAGCGCAGCUAAAGCGUGAAGUUGACCGCAGGGGGAGUACGGAAGCAAAAUUCAAAGUCAAAGGAAUGGGCGGGGACCCGCGCAAGCGGUGGAUGAUUUGGUUUAAUUGGAUGCAACGCGAAAAACCUUACUUUCCUUUUACAUAUCUGUAAUCAUAUAGAGAUUGGGGAGUGCUAGAAAGAGAACAGGAACACAGGUGCUGCAUGGCUGUCGUCAGCUGGUAUAGUGAGAUGUAGGGUUAAGUCCGGCAACGACCGCUACCCUUUUCAUUAGUUGUUACGAAAGGGCACUCUAAUGAGACUGCCGGUGACAAACGGGAGGAAGGUGGGGAUGAGGUCAAGUCUUCAUGGCCCUUAUGGGUGGGGCUACACAGGUCAUACAAUGUUGGUACAAAGGGUUGCCACCCGCGAGGGGGAGCCAAUCCCAAAAAACCGUUUGUAGUCCGAUCGCAGUCUGCAACUCGACUCCGUGAAGUCGGAAUCGCUAGUAAUCGGGGAUCAGCAUGUCUGCGGGAAUACGUUUCCCGGUCUUGUUCACCCCCCCCGUCACACCCAUGGAACUGGUUUCCCAGAAG